CGAUUUUCCAGGUGUGUCCGUCACCCCUUUCUUUGACUGGGAAAGGGAACUCCCUGACCCCUUGCGCUUCCCAGGUGAGGCAAUGCCUCGCCCUGCUUUGGCUCGCGCACAGUGCGCGCACCCACUGGCCUGCGCCCACUGUCUGGCACUCCCUAGUGAGAUGAUCCCGGUACCUCAGAUGGAAAUGCAGAAAUCACCCGUCUUCUGCGUCGCUCACGCUGGGAGCUGUAGACCGGAGCUGUUCCUAUUCGGCCAUCUUGGCUCCUCCCGAUUUUUUAAGCAGAAUUUUUCUUUUCUUAUUGUUGAGUUUUAAGUAUUCUUUGUAUAUUUUGGAGAACAGUCUUUUAACAGAUUUCUUUGUAGUCAAUUAGGACUGCCCAUUAAAGUGGCAGAAUAAGCACAGUGCCUGCUGCUAUGAUGUGAUGGGCCGUGGGAAACACUUUUCGCCUAAAAUCACCUCCUGCAAUGGCCUACUUAAGGCAUUUGAUUCACCUAUGUUAACAAGGGGCUUGUACGUCUCUAUCUUUUGCCAUGGGACAAAGUGCCUUCCUGGAGAAGUUGUUUUUCUCCUAUUGACACCAGGAUUGGCCUAAGGACUUGUGUUGGUCAAGGAAAUAGAUGGAGUUUCACCAUGUAGCCCAGGCUGGUCUUGAACUCCUGGGCUCAAACAAACCACCUGCCUCAGCCUACCAAUGUGCUGGGAUUAUAGGAGUGAGCCACCACACCUGGCGUUAUCUGAGCUUCUUAGUAUGUGCUCCAUCCAUGUAUCAUUCAGAGAUUGGAGGAUUUCUUAAGUGCCUAAGAAGAUGACGGGAGAAAGAUUCAGAAGCAGCAAUUAAAUUAAAUUCAACAUGCAUCCACUGAGCACUUCUUGUUUCCCUAGAACUCUACAGAGACCCCAAGAGAUAUUUACCAGGAAGCUGCAGCUACACUCAUCUACCUGCCACUUCUUGAAACCGGAACCCAGGAGAUCAGAACGUAACUGGAAAGCGUGAAGUGGGACAAUCUGAAAGCAUCCAGAUUCAAUUGUGCGUGAAGGCAAAGAAAAUAACAGCAUGCCCUUUUAAAAUAUUGGUUUGAAGUGAUAUGGAGACACUACUUUGGAGCAUUUUCCUCUUUGCAUUUCCACUCUUGGCACAGUGCUUGGCCCAUGGAGCAGUUUGCUCUCUCCCAUCGAGACCACUUCCUGCAAAAAGCUGGGACCAAGAGGCUGCAGGAGGGCCAGCAGCUCUUAACAGGUUGAGUGAGGGGCUGCCAGGUGAUGAAUGGAUGCAUGUGGAGCAAGGCAGGACUGAUGGAAACUACAGCAUUCUACUUUUCUAUUGGAUUCUGCAUGGACACCAGGAUGAAAAAUGAACAAAUAUUCUCUGCCAUUAUUUCUUGGUUUAGUGUUCACUCUGUGGGGAAACAAACGUGUAUCAGUCACCAUGUCUACCUCCAAGUUAUUUGUAAUAUAAUAAUAGGGGAUUUAUUUUAUAGUGACUCCAAAAUUAUUUAUUGAGCAUCUACUAUGAUCGAGGCAUUUUGCUUGGAAUAAAAUGGUGAACGGCAU
rnacentral:lncRNA from 10 species